AUUUCCAUCGACCUCAGCACUCACCAGCGAUUAUGUAUGUGCAGAACAUCCACCGAAUCUGCCAGCUCCUCCUCCCGACCAAGGAAAAGCACUGUGUUCA